rnacentral:rRNA from 1 species
GGGUGCGAUCAUACCAGCGUUAAUGCACCGGAUCCCAUCAGAACUCCGCAGUUAAGCGCGCUUGGGCUAGA